GGGGGGUUUGUGGAACUGCUCCUGACCCAGAUAAAUUACAAGAGGCUGUCACCACCAGAGACCUUUACAUUUACAUAGGACAUGGUGCAGGAGCCCGGUUUCUGGAUGCUCAGAGGGUUUUGAAUGGGCCUGUGCAGGCAGUAGCUCUUUUGUUUGGCUGCAGUAGUGCUGCUCUCAGUGUACAUGGCCACCUGGAGGGAACAGGAAUCAUCCUCAGUUACUUGACAGCAGGAAUGGUAAAGUGCACAUCCAUGUAUGAAAAUAUUUCGAGUUGAUGUUUAUGAAUUACUUUAUCAUUAAGUAUAAUUCUUUGUCUCUUCCCCAGCCCGUUAGUGCUUGGUAACCUGUGGGAUGUGACAGAUCGUGAUUUAGAUCGUUUCACGUUGGCUCUGCUUCAGUCCUGGCUCUCUGCUGGUUCUGGCUCCUCCCUUCUUAAGCAUUUAGCCCAAUCGCAUAACGCCACACAUUUAAAACAUAUAAUUGGUGCUGCACCCAUUGCAUAUGGUUUGCCUGUGUAUAUUCACUAGCCCAGAUUAGAACUUUAUUUUUCACAUCUAAUGUAGUAAAUUUCUAUCUGUUAUUUAAGGUCUAAAAUAACCAAUCUCAGGGCUUGUUUGCAAUGCAAAGAAUAAGCUCUGUCUAUAUGAAAAUGAACCUAGGAAAUAUAAAUUAAAUGUAACUUGAGCCUAGUUGACAAGCUCAAAGUGUUUAACCAUUUUAGUGGUAAAUAAGUCCUCAUUUAAUUUCUGCCAUGUUCUAAUUCAUUCUUGUACAUUUUUAUUUUCUCUUUUAAGUUAUAUCAAAUGCCAAACUACUUUAAAAUAAAAUGAUUUUUUAGUCUA